ensembl:misc_RNA Metazoa_SRP Metazoan signal recognition particle RNA
GCUGGGCAUGGUGGCGCGUGCCUGUAAUCCCAGCUCUUCAGGAGGCUGAGACAUGAGAAUCGCUUGAACCCAGGAGGUGGAGGUUGCAGUGAGCCGAGAUCAUACCACUGUACUCCAGCCUGGGCAACAAAGCGAGACUCUGUCUCAA